rnacentral:rRNA from 1 species
UGCGUAGGCGGCCUUGUAAGUCAGUGGUGAAAUACUCCAGCUUAACUGGAGGGGUGCCAUUGAUACUGCAGGGCUUGAGUUAAGUUGAAGUUGGCGGAAUUGACGGUGUAGCGGUGAAAUGCUUAGAUAUCGUCAAGAACACCGAUAGUGAAGACAGCUAACUAAACUUUUACUGACGCUGAGGCACGAAAGUGUGGGGAUCAAACAGGAUUAGAUACCCUGGUAGUCCACACUGUAAACGUUGAUUACUCGCUGUGUGCGAUAUACAGUACGCGGCCAAGCGAAAGCGAUAAGUAAUCCACCUGGGGAGUACGCCGGCAACGGUGAA